GUAGUCUCGCACAGAUGCAUAUCAAUAAGCGGAGGAAAAGAAACUAACAAGGAUUCCCCUAGUAACGGCGAGUGAAGCGGGAAGAGCUCAAAUUUGAAAUCUUAAAGGGUUUCCCUUUACGAAUUGUAGUUUAAAGAAGUGUUUUCUGUUGAGGUUUUGGUAAAAGUUCUUUGGAAUAGGACAUCAUAGAGGGUGAGAAUCCCGUAUUUGACCUUUACUUUCAACUUUGUGAUACACUUUCAAAGAGUCGGAUUGUUUGGGAAUGCAGUCCAAAAUGGGUGGUAAAUUUCAUCUAAAGCUAAAUAUUGGCGAGAGACCGAUAGCGAACAAGUACCGUGAGGGAAAGAUGAAAAGAACUUUGAAAAGAGAGUUAAACAGUACGUGAAAUUGUCAAAAGGGAAGCGUUUGACACCAGUGUUGUUUUUCUGAAAAUCAAUUAAAGAACUGUUUAUGCUAAGUUGUUUAGACUUUAUCAGCUAUCUGUUUAGUUUUGAGCUUUUCUUUAAUGCACUUUUCAGUUAACAAGUCAACAUCAAUUUCUUUUGCUGUAAAAAAGCUUGAGGAAGAUGGCUUGAGAUUCGUCUUAAGUGUUUAUAGCCUCUUGCCUAUGCAGUCGGAGAGAUUGAGGUCUGCAGCGUAGAUCCUUCGGGGCUAAAUGCAUUUGUGCUAAGUUAUAGCAUUUUAUAGACAACUUGUUGACUAUGAUUUGUCUUGUAGCUUACUCGCUUAUGUUAUUUUACCUACGCUUAGGAUGUUGAUCUGUAGUGCGUGCGC
rnacentral:rRNA from 1 species